rnacentral:rRNA from 1 species
GACGAACGCUGGCGGCGUGCUUAACACAUGCAAGUCGAACGGAAAGGCCCUGCUUUUGUGGGGUGCUCGAGUGGCGAACGGGUGAGUAACACGUGAGUAACCUGCCCUUGACUUUGGGAUAACUUCAGGAAACUGGGGCUAAUACCGGAUAGGAGCUCCUGCUGCAUGGUGGGGGUUGGAAAGUUUCGGCGGUUGGGGAUGGACUCGCGGCUUAUCAGCUUGUUGGUGGGGUAGUGGCUUACCAAGGCUUUGACGGGUAGCCGGCCUGAGAGGGUGACUGGGCACAUUGGGACUGCGAUACGGCCCAGACUCCUACGGGAGGCAGCAGUGGGGAAUAUUGCACAAUGGGCGGAAGCCUGAUGCAGCAACGCCGCGUGCGGGAUGACGGCCUUCGGGUUGUAAACCGCUUUCGCCUGUGACGAAGCGUGAGUGACGGUAAUGGGUAAAGAAGCACCGGCUAACUACGUG